UACGUAGGGUGCGAGCGUUGUCCGGGAUUACUGGGCGUAAAGAGCUCGUAGGUGGUUUGUCGCGUUGUCCGUGAAAACUCACAACUCAAUUGUGGGCGUGCGGGCGAUACGGGCAGACUGGAGUACUGCAGGGGAGACUGGAAUUCCUGGUGUAGCGGUGGAAUGCGCAGAUAUCAGGAGGAACACCGGUGGCGAAGGCGGGUCUCUGGGCAGUAACUGACGCUGAGGAGCGAAAGCUAGGGGAGCAAACGGG
rnacentral:rRNA from 1 species